GACGAACGCUGGCGGCGUGCUUAACACAUGCAAGUCGAACGGUGAAGGGAUCAGCUUGCUGGUUCUGGAUGAGUGGCGAACGGGUGAGUAACACGUGAGUAACCUGCCCCCUUCUUCUGGAUAACCGCAUGAAAGUGUGGCUAAUACGGGAUAUUCUGGGUCUGUCGCAUGAUGGGUCUGGGAAAGAUAUUGUUUCGGUGGGGGAUGGGCUCGCGGCCUAUCAGCUUGUUGGUGGGGUGAUGGCCUACCAAGGCGGGGACGGGUAGCCGGCCUGUGAGGGGGGACGGUCACACUGUGACUGGGACCCGGCCCAGACUCCUACGGGCGGCAGCAGUGGGGCAUAUUGCACAAUGGGCGCAAGCCUGAUGCAGCGACGCCGCGUGAGGGAGGGAGGCCUUCGGGUUGUAAACCUCUUUCGCCAGUGAAGCAGGCCUGCUCCUUGUGGGUGGGUUGACGUUAGCUGGAUAAGAAGCGCCGGCUAACUACGUG
rnacentral:rRNA from 1 species